CAUGUACAAAGGCCCUGAGGCUGGCGUGGAAUCCGAGGGUUCCUGAUGACUGCAGCUCCUCGCCCCUCCCGCUGUGUUCCCGCCGCCUCUGGGCUGAAAGCGCCAUCAGGACCCGUGGCGCGUGGGCUUUGUUAAGUCAUUAACUGCUUGGGACAUAGCAGGAGCAUGGUGCGCGGCACAGAACAGGCUUGGCUUCCACGGCCCAUCCAGGCGGAGCCGUCAGCGUCCCUUGCCUAGACCAGAGCUCUGGAAAGCGGAGAGGCGGACAGGGGCCGUUCCCCAGAUCUGUUCCGGAGGAUGCAGAUCAGAACCAGAGAGGGUGCAUUUAGAAACUCAUUGCAACCUGACAAAGUUGCAGCGUUGUAGCGCGGGGUCAGCAACAGGAAUUCGGGUUGGGUGGAGUCGGACUCAGGGAGUGGUCGCUUGUGCGCAGAACUGCGUAGACUCGAGUAGGUUCGAAAAGGAUAGGCCUGGGGGCAAGACCUAGUCCUUCACCACAGGUAAAUCUAGGCGUCCGCGAGGGUCUCCUGGCUCAUUUUCCUGCAUCCACUGGCCUCCCACCACACUGCGACAUCCAGAGUGGUCGUUACACAAAGCAAACUGAAUUAAGUCAUUCCCCUGCUCCAGAGUCCUUGCAGCCUCCGGCCCUACAGGAUGCGCCCCUGCCUGCCUGCCAGGUCGUCUUAUACCCUCUCCGCAUGGUCUUGCAAAACUGACUCCGCUAUGCACCGCUGAUGCACCAGGCUUCUCCCGGGAAAGACCUUUGCACGAAUUAUGCCUGCCUGGGGUAUCUCUUUCCCCUCUCAACUCAAAAAUCACCUUCUCAGAGGCCUUUCUAACCAUUUCAGUACUCCUCAUUCUGUCACAUCCCUGUGUUUUAUGUUCUUCAUAAUGAACUGAAACUGUUUGUUGUAUGUUUUGUUGGGUCUUUUCAUUUUCCCCUACUUGGAAGUAAGCUACUGUCUUGUUCACCCUUAGAUUCCCAGCGCCUAAGGCGGAGGCCUGACACUUAUAAGCACCCAUUAUAGUUGAGUUCCCAUUUAUUAAUUCAAGCAAAAACUGUGGUUUGGGUCACCAAAGCAUGAAACCCCACUUGGAAUCUUGGGGUUUGGAUAUUAGCACUUAACUAUUCAUCCACUCCUUCAUCUCUAAGUUUUCUUCUCAGAGAAAAUCAUGGA
rnacentral:lncRNA from 10 species